GUUUGUGACUCAGUGGUAGAGUGCUGGCCUGGCAUGUAUAAGGCACUGGGUUCGAUCCUCAGCACUACA
rnacentral:tRNA from 1 species